rnacentral:rRNA from 1 species
AAGGAUAUACAGCGCCCGCGGAGCUCGCUCCCGGGGCUACCCUACUCCCGUAGGGUUUAGAGUCGUCGGGCCUCUCGGAGAAGCUCGGUCCUGAACUCCACCCUUGAAUAAACUACCUUUGUUGCUUUGGCGGGCCGCCUCGUGCCAGCGGCUUCGGCUGUUGAGUGCCCGCCAGAGGACCCCAACUCUUGUUUUUAGUGAUGUCUGAGUACUAUAUAAUAGUUAAAACUUUCAACAACGGAUCUCUUGGUUCUGGCAUCGAUGAAGAACGCAGCGAAAUGCGAUAAGUAAUGUGAAUUGCAGAAUUCAGUGAAUCAUCGAAUCUUUGAACGCACAUUGCGCCCUCUGGUAUUCCGGGGGGCAUGCCUGUUCGAGCGUCAUUAUAACCACUCAAGCUCUCGCUUGGUAUUGGGGUUCGCGGUUUCGCGGCCCCUAAAAUCAGUGGCGGUGCCUGUCGGCUCUACGCGUAGUAAUACUCCUCGCGAUUGAGUCCGGUAGGUCUACUUGCCAGCAACCCCUAAUUUUUUUAAGGUUGACCUCGGAUCAGGUAGGGAUACCCGCUGAACUUAAGCAUAUCAA